rnacentral:misc_RNA from 1 species
UGUCGUUUUUCCUUGGGGA